AAUAGAAAGCAAAUUGCCAUGACCUAUUACUGCAGAGAAAAGGUCUAUUUCUAAUCCGUGCACUUUUUCAACAGAGGUAUUUCCAGCUAAUCUCCGACAGUAACCCACUUAGGCAAAGCUUCGUGCAAAAGCAGCAUCACUGCCAGCUGCUGACGGCUCCUCAUCAUCAGCGGGACAGAGCAGCUCCCACC